AUUGAACGCUGGCGGCAUGCCUUACACAUGCAAGUCGAACGGCAGCACGGGAGCAAUCCUGGUGGCGAGUGGCGAACGGGUGAGUAAUAUAUCGGAACGUGCCCAGUCGUGGGGAUAACGUAGCGAAAGCUACGCUAAUACCGCAUACGAUCUAUGGAUGAAAGCGGGGGAUCGCAAGACCUCGCGCGAUUGGAGCGGCCGAUAUCAGAUUAGGUAGUUGGUGAGGUAAAGGCUCACCAAGCCGACGAUCUGUAGCUGGUCUGAGAGGACGAUCAGCCACACUGGGACUGAGACACGGCCCAGACUCCUACGGGAGGCAGCAGUGGGGAAUUUUGGACAAUGGGCGCAAGCCUGAUCCAGCAAUGCCGCGUGCAGGAUGAAGGCCUCGGGUUGUAACUAGCUUUGUACGGUAACGAAACGGU
rnacentral:rRNA from 1 species